GUCCCCUUCGUCUAGUGGCCUAGGACACCGGGUUUUCAUCCCGGCAACAGGGGUUCGAAACCCCUAGGGGACGCCA
rnacentral:tRNA from 1 species